UUCCCACCCCUUUCUAGCUACAGCUGGAGGGAGAGCUGAGGGAGAAGAGCUGCUGCAUUUGCUUUUCCAGCACUUGCCCUGCAGUCCCUUGUUCCCCAAGCCCUCAGCAGACUGUCUGAGACAGGCAGAUAUAAAGCAGAGGUUACCGAUGAUUGCACUGCAGGAUAGGAGCACAGCCAGGAGAUGCUGCUGCUUGGCAGCAUGAGCAAGACUCCAACAAGCAGACUUCACAGGGAGGUUUGCCUUUGCUGAUUAUAGGAUUUCUCUACUCAUCCACUUCUUUGCUCUAAGGAAGGAGUUUGGAAAGCAGCCACUCUUCAUGUCCUGAAAGACCUCUCCAGAUUUUCCCCGCUUUAAAACGGACCCCAGUGAUACUUGUCGAAACAGGAUUACUGCAGAAGGAGUCGGCAGAGGCAAUCAUGGGAUGUUGUGGCAUGCAAUACUGGUUUAAAAUUUUAAAAAAAGGAUAGAACUGCAGAAUACCCUCUAAGCCUUUCCAUUUCUGGGGAGAUUUUCAUUCUGCCUGCCCUGCACUACAUAUGCCGACCCCACUGCUGAAAUGCAGCCACCUCUGGGCUGGAGACGGACAGCUACCCAAGGAGGGUGCCACAACCUCGCACCAGACACUGGCUCAGGAGGGUAAAGCAGCAGCCCAUGUUCACCUGACACUUCCAGGGGGAGCUCCUUGGGGCCCACAUACUGUGUCCUCAUCAUGCUGACAGGAUCCUGAUCUCCCACUGCAGGAGCCACCUCUAUAAUAAGGAACUACAAAUAAGAAACAACAUCAUCAGCAGCCUUCUGCCACCCUGCAUAUAGGGAGGAGCAGCAGCAGCAUCUACCAGAGGUCAGGCAACCUGGGGUAUCUUCUCAGGAUAGCACUUGAGCUCAGAAAAACAGGCAGGUGCAAUCAACAGAGGGAAAUGAGAUCUUCCCUCACCCACCUUGAGAAGGGGAAACUGCAAGACAGAUUUUAUCCCCCACUUUGCUGUUUUCGCAUGGUUACCUGAAUCUCAGGAAGGCAUGGUCCCAGCAGGAAAGUGGCUGCCAUGGUGGCCCACAGCCAUCCAGGAGAUGUUCCAGCAGUGGUAGUGGUGGAGACUGCCACAGGAAAGGUGGAGGCUCAUCAAGCCAUCAGAGUGAGGGCUCAUCAAACCAAAGCAGGGGCAAUGGCUCAUCUGGCCAUGACGGGGACGACCUAGACCUGGAGGUCAAGGUUCCUUGCAGCCUGGACAGCAGAUCAGAGACCCCGGUGGAUACCACAGCAAAAACAAGUGUUGCAGAAGCGACGUUACAGCUUGCAGUUCAUGAGAGCACAUCCUCUUGGUGAUUUCUUUAAACUCUUUCCCAACCCCAAGCUAUCAGCAGUAGCAGUAAUGCUGUGGUAGGAUGUAGGAGCCCCAAGCAUGGACCUCCAUUUGUGCUUGGUGCUGUACAAACACAGAGUGUGAUGCAGCGCCUGUCCCAAGGAGUUUAUAGUCUAAGCAAGCUUCUGUAAAAAAUGUAUAUCUCCACUCCUCAAAUAAACACUGCAACUGUCUGCUCCCCAAACACAGACAGCCUCAACCGGUACCUGCUAGCAUCCAGCAGAAGAGCCCCAAGGUGCACUGCAGCACACCCGGCAGAAGUCGGUGGUACCGUUUCAGUACAGGGGACGUUACAGAACUUGCCGCAGGUUCAUUCCCUUACAGGUGGCAAACGAGCACUGCCCGAAGCACAGGCCAAUAAGAGAGUCGGCCUGAAGGUUCAGGAGUAUAGUUUAGGCACUGUAAGUGAUAUUUUUAGUCCUUCAUUUUGUGGUUUAAGGGUGUGAAGAACAACCGCAACCUGUGCACCCAAACUGGAGUUGCUGCUGCUCUUCUUAUUAUUCAUAAGGCUUUGGCAGCAUACAAGCUGCUGGGUCUACAGUGCAAAACAGGACAAAGCAAUUCAUUACACCCCCAUCUAAGGGUCUGAAGCCAAUUACUGGUCACCGUACCACUCCCUAGUGACCCUGAGCUCUGUUUGCACACAAAAGUCAUAAGACAUCACAACACAAAUGUACAACAUGUGCAAUACAAAUCUUUUCAGUCUAGUGAACAAACUUAUACCAGUGUCAAUGGGCUGACUGGGUUGUGUUGACACUGCUCCCCUCCAAAAUCCAGGCCUGCCUCUGACAAAAGAAGUCGUGCCCACAUGCUCCUCUCUCAGUAUGCCAGGACUGGCAAUUAGGCAAACAGACAACUCAGAAGUGGCUCUACGUGGCUCACAGCAGACUUGUAUAUCCCCUCUGCAAUGCUCUCAGGUCUCCCAAGACUGAAGCCUUGAGCCCAGCCCUAUGCAACACACUCAAAGCUGCUCCUACCUGCAUGCUUAACAUACCUACUGUUCACUGCUAGGCACCAGCAGCAGCAAGUCUGCGGGGUUAUUUUUGUCAGAUGUCUCUAAAGAUGGCCCAUUCCUGCGCAAAAAGAGGAGCCAGCUGUACUGGGGUGAACAGUGGGGGAUCCCUGUCCCGUCCCUAAGUCAUCACCAUGGGUGGAGGGUGCAUUGGACAGCAUAAUUGCACACGGGCUAGAAGCUGUAAUGAUAUGACUAGAUUGGUAAAAAACAUCACACCCAUAAUAAAACAGUUACUCUUGCACCACAGCCUGUGGACAACUGGGAUCCUAGUCAUCUGUAGUUUGUUUUCCUCCUAUGCCCAUCUUCCUAUAAGCCACAUGCUCCUUGGCUACAUAUCAGCUGCAGUAAGGGAAACAACCCAGACUUACAACAGCAGAGCAUUUGGAGCAAUGUGUUUUGUCUUUUUUAUAGGCUCCUGAUGGUAAAAACUCAUUGCUUUUCCAGUCCUUUUUUUUAUACAGCCCUCGACACAUUGUGGGUGUCACCAGAUACACAUAAUGGACUAGCAGCAAUGAUCACCAUGAACCAAUGAUCACCAUGAAUUAUGUCAGACCAUCCUCACAACCAUAGAACAAUAUGAACAGCACCGUGCUGACAUUAUUCUUUUUUACUCAAGAUAAAUGAUUUAUCAAAAGCUUCCCCAAGCCCUUUCCUUGUUGGUAGUUCCUAUGGACUGGGCACAGAUCCAAAGGCUUAGUUUCUGUUUCAGCCACCAAUUUAAGAGCACCUCUGCUUCUGCCCGGUUCCCCCAAGCAGGCGGGCCUUCCACUGGUCUUUUUAUAUGGUUUAAAACAACAAGGGUUGUGGAAGGGAGAUAUUCAUCAAAAAUGACAAGUCAAGAGAUGUUGCCAAGCAAGUGGGCAGCUGAGGCUGGGUUUGGCUGGUAAAUAAACCAGUCAUUGCCCCAGCGUAUGUCUUACUUCCAGCAGGAGGCCUUAGAUACUGUAUAAAAGUCUCAUCUUCCAAGCAUCCUCACUCCUCUCAACUUUUUUUUGCUUUCUUGUGCUGCGGGACAAAGUAAGUUGCUUUAUAAUAUAGCUUGUUCUGGUUGCUAAAAAUUAAUCUUCUUCAUUGCUUCUGGUUUCUUCACUGCAAGAGACCCAGCAGCCCCCCAGCAGCCCCUGCAGCAGCAGCAGAAGUAGUCGCUGCUUAGCGAUGCCCAAAUCAAGCAACCGUGAUGGCAAGCACAUCUCAUGACCUCCCACCACCUGAAAUGAACCAUGCUUUGCAUGUACCACUGCCGAGUCCUUCAUUCCUGAUGCAACUGGCUGUGCAUCUCCGAUGCACUUUUAAUGAGAAAUUUGGUGUGCAGGCUGGUGUAAGGGUGGUUUCACAUACUAAUCUCAAGCUUCAGUGUCCAGCUGUAGGCAUGAGACAAUAAAACUGGUCAUUCUGGAGAGUUUAGGUGUCUAGGUGGUUCUUCUCAAACCCUGAAUGCAUUCCCCUUACCAUAGUUUUCUUCUGAGUAAAGACCCUGGUGUGUUAGAAAUACAGAGGGGUAAGGGGUCUUCUGGGCUGAGUCUGGUCUACAGGAUGAGUCUACAGGGUUCACUCUGAAAGCAACAUGCAGUAGAGAUAGUCAGAUACGAGACCUGGAGAACUCAAGAGACCCACGUGUAGGAAUCGUUCCUUGGUUCUGUUUCUAUGGUCAUUGCAUAUGCUGGUUUUGGAAGAGUCUGGACUGCACACAUGGGUAUCCCACAACAUGAGUGAGCAGCAGACUGUAGUUACUAAUGCAGAUUAUAAUGAUGCAGAUGAUACCAGGAUAGAUAAAUCAAAUAAUUAUUGGAAAGGACCUCAGGAGGUCUUCUAAUCCACACCCCAUGUGGUAGCCUUCUAGAUGAUGCAAGGCUAGCACAUAUCAUUCAUAAAGGUUCAUGUAUCUUCCAUCUCUCUAACCAUUUCAUGCUGCCAUACAUCUUUCAGGUAUCUGAGAGUCUGCUCACUGACAUGGAAAUGCUUCUAGAUACAGCUCAAUUUCCACACCACAGCCAUGCCAAGCAGAAAAAUAUUGAACAAGGUGGAAGCUGUAUGGGCAAAUUUGGAAAGCAAAUGAUCUGGGGUGGAAAUCCACCUGGCAUCAGCAGUCCCAUGUUUAAGGCAGCGGGAGUCCUUCAGAUCUAGACUUUAUGUCUCAAUCAAAACCCACUGCAAGGCUCAACUCUUGCUCUCUAUCUUAGGGAUAACCUCUUAUCCCCAAAUGCCCAAAUAUGUGUUCUAUAUAGCAGGAGCCUAAGAGGGAAAAGAUGUCAACCAAACUAGGAUUAAAACCUUCACCAAAAGGUAAGGACAUGGAACUGUUCAGCCUGGAGAAGAAAAGACUUCAGGGGGACUUGGUAGCAGCCUAUAAGUAUAUAAAGGGUGCACAUCAGGGUCUGAGGAAGCAUCUGUUCAUGAAGGCACCCCAGGGGAAGAGAAGGAAUAACCAUCAUAAAUUGCUAGAAGAUCACUUUAGAUUGGACAUAAGGAAAAAUGUCCUUAUGGUUCGAGUGCCCAAGGUCUGGAACAGACUCCCCCAGAGGUGGUACAAUCGCCUACUCUGAAAAUCUUCAAAAAACAUCUGGACGCUCACCUUGCUGGGGUCACCUGACCCCAGCAGUCUUUCCUGCCCAAGCGCAGGGGGGCUGGACCUGAUAAUCUCAAGAGGUCCCUUCCAGCCCCUAACAUUUAUGAAUCUAUGAAUAAGGACUUACAUUUAGGGAGCAUGGAUAUAAGACCACCCCCAGUACAUAGCAAUGACUUCAUUGGCUUGUCCUCUGUGACAACUGCGUACAGGCGAAGACCAGAAGGUUGCAUGUCCAUUCUCUGCCCAAACAGGAGGCUAGGAAAGGGGCUGAGAGGAACAAGGGAACAGGCAGGGACUUUGCUCUGCCCUGUGCACUGCCCACUCGCUGCCCAUGCACCAGGCAGCAGAGCAGACCCUGCACCAGUCUAGGGCUCCAUUAGCAGAGAGCUGCGGGGUCCUUUCUGGAGGAAAAUAACUGCACCACUCGGGGAUGACCCUCCAGGCUCUGUGCAGCCUUUAGUGAUCCAGACACAAGGCACAAAGGAUCUAAGAUGCACUCAGGACUCAGGGUUAGUAGUAACCUAGUUCAAAUUCACUACACAUCCAUUCAUUCCCAUCCCUCCGUGCAUAGGAUGGUAAAAGGAAUUUCCCUGGAAGGGAAGCUUUGUAUUCAGUAUGGCACUUUCUGGCAAUGUUUUGGAAAGUAAAAUAAACCUUUCCUUUUCUAAACUCUACAGCAAGGUAGCACAGAUGAGAGGGGUGCUCUGAGCUGCGCAAGCCAACAUGAUCCAGGCACACAGCAUAACCCACAGGAGCCACCUCCCCAUUUGGUUAAACCUGCUCAUCUGAUGUGAAUUAAAUGUCUUUCUGAGGAUGAAACCAUGGGUCAAAAUAUUAGGAAGAAACAUUGCAUUCAUGUUUUCUUUAAUGUUGGCUUUGAUUUAUUUUUUAAUUAAAAUAAACCAUUUUCAGUCAUAAUGAUA